rnacentral:rRNA from 1 species
GAUGAACGCUAGCGGCAGGCCUAACACAUGCAAGUCGAGGGGAAGGCCCUUUCGGGGCAGGAAACGGGGGACGGGGGGCUAACGCGGUUUGAAACUUACCUUUACCAGGGGGAAGGCCGGAGAAAUUUGGGUUUAUUACCCAUUAAUUUUUUUGGAGGGCAUAAUUUGAUAUUAAAAACUGGGUGGUGAAAAGUUGGGCUUGCGUCCUAUUAGCUAGUUGGAGUGGUAACGGCACCCAAAGGCUACGAUAGGUAGGGGUCCUGAGAGGGAGGUCCCCCACACUGGUACUGAGACAGUGACCAGACUCCUACGGGAGGCAGCAGUGAGGAAUAUUGGUCAAUGGUCGGAAGACUGAACCAGCCAUGCCGCGUGCAGGAAGAAUGCCUUAUGGGUUGUAAACUGCUUUUAUAUGGGAAGAAUAAGGCGUACGUGUACGUUGAUGACGGUACCAUAUGAAUAAGCAUCGGCUAACUCCGUG